rnacentral:rRNA from 1 species
CAGUAGCCGCGGUAAUACAGAGGGUGCGAGCGUUAAUCGGAUUUACUGGGCGUAAAGCGUGCGUAGGCGGCUUCUUAAGUCGGAUGUGAAAUCCCUGAGCUUAACUUAGGAAUUGCAUUCGAUACUGGGAAGCUAGAGUAUGGGAGAGGAUGGUAGAAUUCCAGGUGUAGCGGUGAAAUGCGUAGAGAUCUGGAGGAAUACCGAUGGCGAAGGCAGCCAUAUGGCCUAAUACUGACGCUGAGGUACGAAAGCAUGGGGAGCAAACAGGAUUAGAUACCCGCGUAGUCCCUGUCUCUUAUAC